CCCAAUACUUUUAAAAUGGCGGCCAUUGUUUCCAGACGGCCAUAACAAUAUUUUGUUAAUUUGAUAAGAGAAAUGAGAAAAGCUACAAUGUCAAAACAUUCUGCCGCCAAAAAGAACUAUAAAUGUGAUAUUUGCGAUGAUUAGAAACGAACAACUUUUGAUUUAUUUUGGCAGAUAUUACAAUUAAAUGAAUCUUCAGAAAUGAACAAGAACAAAUACAAUCUAAACAGAAGAAGUUCAAAGGAGCUUAAUUGCUAUCCUUUGGUAACUUGAAAUGACCACAAAUUGGUCGGAAUGCAUAUAAUAAUGUAAUAUGAAUCUAUAUAAACUGAUUGGGUGCAUGCGGUUUCGUACUUAGUUCAUUUGUUCCUCAAAUUGAUUUGUUCUUUUUCCUUUAUGUUGUUAAAAUAAAUUGAAAUAAGUUGAAAUAAAAAACAAUUGAAAAAAAAACAAAUAAACAAACACUGCUACUUG